rnacentral:rRNA from 1 species
UGGGGAAUAUUGCACAAUGGGCGCAAGCCUGAUGCAGCAACGCCGCGUGAACGAUGAAGGUCUUCGGAUCGUAAAGUUCUGUUGCAGGGGAAGAUAAUGACGGUACCCUGUGAGGAAGCCCCUGCUAACUACGUGCCAGCAGCCGCGGUAAUACGUAGGGGGCUAGCGUUAUCCGGAUUUACUGGGCGUAAAGGGUGCGUAGGUGGUCUUUCAAGUCGGUGGUUAAAGGCUACGGCUCAACCGUAGUUAGCCUCCGAAACUGGAAGACUUGAGUGCAGGAGAGGAAAGUGGAAUUCCCAGUGUAGCGGUGAAAUGCGUAGAUAUUGGGAGGAACACCAGUAGCGAAGGCGGCUUUCUGGACUGCAACUGACACUGAGGCACGAAAGCGUGGGUAGCAAACAGG